GUAGGGAAUAUUGCGCAAUGGAGGAAACUCUGACGCAGCGACGCCGCGUGGGUGAUGAAGGCUUUCGGGUCGUAAAACCCUGUCGGAAGGGACGAAAAAUAUUAUGGCUAACAUCCAUAGUACUUGACGGUACCUUUAAAGGAAGCACCGGCUAACUACGUGCCAGCAGCCGCGGUAAUACGUAGGGUGCUAGCGUUGUUCGGAAUCAUUGGGCGUAAAGCGUGUGUAGGUGGUUAGUAAAGUCGGGUGUGAAAUCCCUCAGCUCAACUGAGGAAGUGCAUCCGAAACUCACUAGCUGGAGGACGGUAAAGGAAGGUGGAAUUCCUAGUGUAGAGGUGAAAUUCGUAGAUAUUAGGAGGAAUACCGGUGGCGAAGGCGGCCUUCUGGGCCGUUCCUGACACUGAGACACGAAAGCGUGGGUAGCAAACAGGAUUAGAUACCCCGGUAGUCC
rnacentral:rRNA from 1 species